UACGAGGGGGGCAAGCGUUGUUCGGAAUUAUUGGGCGUAAAGCGCGUGUAGGCGGUCUUCUAAGUCUGGUGUGAAAGCCCGGGGCUCACCCCCGGAAGUGCACUGGAAACUGGGAGACUCGAGUACCGGAGAGGAGGGUGGAAUUCCUGGUGUAGCGGUGAAAUGCGUAGAUAUCAGGAGGAACACCGGUGGCGAAGGCGGCCCUCUGGACGGAUACUGACGCUGAGACGCGAAAGCGUGGGGAGCAAACAGG
rnacentral:rRNA from 1 species